GAUGAACGCUAGCUACAGGCUUAACACAUGCAAGUCGAGGGGCAGCAUAUUGAUAGCUUGCUAUCAGUGAUGGCGACCGGCGCACGGGUGAGUAACGCGUAUCCAACCUGCCUGUCACUCAGGAAUAGCCCGGUGAAAACCGGAUUAAGUCCUGAUGAUAUCAUUAGAGGGCAUCUGACGAUGAUUAAAGGUUACGGUGACAGAUGGGGAUGCGUCUGAUUAGCUUGUUGGCGGGGUAACGGCCCACCAAGGCGACGAUCAGUAGGGGUUCUGAGAGGAAGGUCCCCCACAUUGGAACUGAGACACGGUCCAA
rnacentral:rRNA from 1 species